rnacentral:rRNA from 1 species
GACGUAGGGCGCGAGCGUUGUCCGGAUUUAUUGGGCGUAAAGAGCUCGUAGGCGGCUUGUCGCGUCGACUGUGAAAACCCGCGGCUCAACCGUGUGGCGGGCAGUUGAUACGGGCAGGCUAGAGUUCGGUAGGGGAGACUGGAAUUCCUGGUGUAGCGGUGAAAUGCGCAGAUAUCAGGAGGAACACCGGUGGCGAAGGCGGGUCUCUGGGCCGAUACUGACGCUGAGGAGCGAAAGCUAGGGGAGCGAACGGG